rnacentral:rRNA from 1 species
GACGAACGCUGGCGGCGUGCUUAACACAUGCAAGUCGAACGGAAAGGCCCUGCUUGCCGGGUACUCGAGUGGCGAACGGGUGAGUAACACGUGGGUGAUCUGCCCUUCACUUCGGGAUAAGCUUGGGAAACUGGGUCUAAUACCGGAUAGGAGCCAUCUUUAGUGUGGUGGUUGGAAAGUUUUUUCGGUGUAGGAUGAGCUCGCGGCCUAUCAGCUUGUUGGUGGGGUAAUGGCCUACCAAGGCGGCGACGGGUAGCCGGCCUGAGAGGGUGUACGGCCACAAUGGGACUGAGAUACGGCCCAGGCACCUACGGGGGGCAGCAGUGGGGAAUAUUGCACAAUGGGCGCAAGCCUGAUGCAGCGACGCCGCGUGGGGGAUGAAGGCCUUCGGGUUGUAAACUCCUUUCGCUAGGGACGAAGCUAUUUUGUGACGGUACCUAGAUAAGAAGCACCGGCUAACUACGUG